rnacentral:ncRNA from 1 species
UUGAGCCGUAUGCGGGGAAACUUGCACGUACGGUUCUUAGGUGUUCUUAGGGGAGGCUGCGCCGGUGACGGCGUGGCCUUACCCGCU